UGACAGCAUCGGAUUGCAGCGCUGUUUCAGAAAGGUGAAAUGCAUCAAAGUUGAGGAUGCAGGCAGAGUUGAAGGCUAUGUACUGUUACAUAGCACAGGCUGGUCUAUGCCGGAGGCCUAUUGGAUAGUGGGAGUGCGGAUGAUGACUUCAGAUGUCCAAGGCAGGCGGCAGGAUGCGUGCAGUUCAUCACACACUCUGUGUCGUAUUCACCUAAUUGGAUCUAUGAAGAACGUCAGUGGGCCCAACACUGCCCGAGUCAGUCCUCCACCACGGGACAGCCACUUGUGCUGGGACACCACAAGAUGUCAUCAAGAUCAUUAUGACAGGAUUUCCAUCUUUCAUUUUGGUAGUAAUGGACUUGUAGGAAGCCUUCACACUCUGGACUUGUCUCCCCACACAUACAUUUCUUGUCUCCCAUUAUCCUCUAUGUUUAUUUAUUGUAGGCCCUGAGAUAAUCAUCCUGCGUUCUGCCUGGCCAUAUCUGAAAUUAAAGUUGGCGAUGGUGUCAGUAACUCAGGUUUCUCUUCUCGGGGGCUGUCAGCGUCUUGUCCUCAUUGUUUAUUUGCUCUUCUUGUUUCCUUGAGGGCUCGGGACGG